GAUGAACGCUGACAGCAUGCUUAACACAUGCAAGUCAACUGUGGCGGACGGGUGAGUAACGCGUAAAGAACUUACCUCACAGAUAGGGACAACAUUUGGAAACGAAUGCUAAUCUCUGAACCUGUGAGAGAGCUUUGCGUCCCAUGAGCUAGUUGGAGAGGUACCGGCUCACGAAGGCGAUGAUGGGUAGCCGGCCUGAGAGGGUGAUCGGCCACAAGGGGACUAGGACACGGCCCUUAGUCCUACGGGAGGCAGCGGUGGGGAAUAUUGGACGAUGGACCAAAGUCUGAUCCAGGAAUUCGGGGUGCACGAUGAAUUUUUCGGAAGGUAAAGUGCUUUCAGUUGGGAAGCGGUACCAACAGAAGAAGCAACGGCUAAAUACGUGCCAGCAGCCGCGGUAAUUC
rnacentral:rRNA from 1 species